UACGAAGGGUGCAAGCGUUACUCGGAAUUACUGGGCGUAAAGCGUGCGUAGGUGGUUUGUUAAGUCUGUUGUGAAAGCCCCGGGCUCAACCUGGGAAUGGCAAUGGAUACUGGCAGGCUAGAGUGCGGUAGAGGGUAGUGGAAUUCCCGGUGUAGCGGUGAAAUGCGUAGAGAAUCGGGAGGAACACCAGUGGCGAAGGCGGCUACCUGGACCAGCACUGACACUGAGGCACGAAAGCGUAGGGAGCAAACAGGA
rnacentral:rRNA from 1 species